UGAUGGAACUCUGGAGAAUCUCAGAAAUGAGUGCCGAAGGUGCAAGGCUAUAAGCCGAAACUCUCAGGCAAAAGGACAGAGCAAGCUGA
rnacentral:ncRNA from 2 species